rnacentral:rRNA from 1 species
GAACGUGGGCGGCGCGCCUAACACAUGCAAGUCGAACGAGAAAGGGAGCAAUCCUGAGUAAAGUGGCGCACGGGUGCGUAACACGUAGGUAACCUGCCCUUAGGAGGGGGAUAACGUUCCGAAAGGAGCGCUAAUACCGCAUACAGCUCACUGAGGUAACUCGGUGAGGCAAAGGUUGGGAUUCGCAAGAACCAAUCACCUGAGGAGGGGCCUGCGGCCCAUCAGCUAGUUGGUGAGGUUACGGCUCACCAAGGCGAAGACGGGUAGCUGGUCUGAGAGGAUGAUCAGCCACACUGGUACUGGAACACGGACCAGACUCCUACGGGAGGCAGCAGUGGGGAAUCUUGGUCAAUGGGCGCAAGCCUGAACCAGCGACGCCGCGUGAGUGAUGAAGGCCUUCGGGUUGUAAAGCUCUGUGGGGAGGGACGAAAGAGCAUAGUCGAAUAGGCUAUGUGUUGACGGUACCUCCUUAGCAAGCACCGGCUAACUCUGUGCCAGCAGCCGCGGUAAGACAGAGGGUGCAAACGUUGCUCGGAAUCACUGGGCGUAAAGGGCGUGUAGGCGGGAGGAUAAGUCAGAUGUGAAAUCCCUGGGCUCAACCCAGGAACUGCAUUUGAAACUGCCCUUCUUGAGUGUCGGAGAGGAAAGUGGAAUUCCUGGUGUAGAGGUGAAAUUCGUAGAUAUCAGGAGGAACACCGGUGGCGAAGGCGGCUUUCUGGACGACAACUGACGCUGAGACGCGAAAGCGUGGGGAGCAAACAGGAUUAGAUACCCUGGUAGUCCACGCUGUAAACGAUGAGCACUAGGUGCUGCGGGUAUUGACCCCUGCGGUGCCGUAGCUAACGCAUUAAGUGCUCCGCCUGGGAAGUACGGUCGCAAGACUAAAACUCAAAG